UACGGAGGGGGCUAGCGUUGCUCGGAAUCACUGGGCGUAAAGGGUGCGUAGGCGGGGGUUUAAGUCAGGGGUGAAAUCCCGGAGCUCAACUCCAGAACUGCCUUUGAUACUGAAGAGCUUGAGUCCGGGAGAGGUGAGUGGAACUGCGAGUGUAGAGGUGAAAUUCGUAGAUAUCUGGAAGAACACCGGUGGCGAAGGCGGGUCUCUGGGCCGAAAUUGACGCUGAGGAGCGAAAGCGUGGGGAGCAAACAGG
rnacentral:rRNA from 1 species